rnacentral:rRNA from 1 species
CCUACGGGAGGCAGCAGUGGGGGAUAUUGGACAAUGGGGGGAACCCUGAUCCAGCGACGCCGCGUGAGUGAAGAAGUAUUUCGGUAUGUAAAGCUCUGUCAGCAGGGAAGAAAGAAAUGACGGUACCUGACCAAGAAGCCCCGGCUAACUACGUGCCAGCAGCCGCGGGAAUACGUAGGGGGCAAGCGUUAUCCGGAAUUACUGGGUGUAAAGGGAGCGUAGACGGUUAAGUAAGUCUGGAGUGAAAGGCCGGGGCCCAACCCCGGGACUGCUCUGGAAACUAUUGAACUUGAGUGCAGGAGAGGUAAGCGGAAUUCCUAGUGUAGCGGUGAAAUGCGUAGAUAUUAGGAGGAACACCAGUGGCGAAGGCGGCUUACUGGACUGUAACUGACGUUGAGGCUCGAAAGCGUGGGGAGCAAACAGGAUUAGAUACCCGGGUAGUC